GACGAACGCUGGCGGCGUGCUUAACACAUGCAAGUCCAACGGAAAGGCCCUGCUUUUGUGGGGUGCUCGAGUGGCGAACGGGUGAGUAACACGUGAGUAACCUGCCCUUGACUUUGGGAUAACUUCAGGAAACUGGGGCUAAUACCGGAUAGGAGCUCCUGCUGCAUGGUGGGGGUUGGAAAGUUUCGGCGGUUGGGGAUGGACUCGCGGCUUAUCAGCUUGUUGGUGGGGUAGUGGCUUACCAAGGCUUUGACGGGUAGCCGGCCUGAGAGGGUGACCGGCCACAUUGGGACUGAGAUACGGCCCAGACUCCUACGGGAGGCAGCAGUGGGGAAUAUUGCACAAUGGGCGGAAGCCUGAUGCAGCAACGCCGCGUGCGGGAUGACGGCCUUCGGGUUGUAAACCGCUUUCGCCUGUGACGAAGCGUGAGUGACGGUAAUGGGUAAAGAAGCACCGGCUAACUACGCG
rnacentral:rRNA from 1 species